rnacentral:rRNA from 1 species
AUUGAACGCUGGCGGCAUGCUUUACACAUGCAAGUCGAACGGUAACAGGCCGCAAGGUGCUGACGAGUGGCGAACGGGUGAGUAAUGCAUCGGAACGUGCCCAGUCGUGGGGGAUAACGCAGCGAAAGCUGCGCUAAUACCGCAUACGAUCUAUGGAUGAAAGCGGGGGACCGUAAGGCCUCGCGCGAUUGGAGCGGCCGAUGUCAGAUUAGGUAGUUGGUGGGGUAAAGGCUCACCAAGCCAACGGUCUGUAGCUGGUCUGAGAGGACGACCGGCCACACUGGGACUGAGACACGGCCCAGACUCCUAUGGGAGGCAGCAGUGGGGAAUUUUGGACAAUGGGCGCAAGCCUGAUCCAGCAAUGCCGCGUGCAGGAAGAAGGCCUUCGGGUUGUAAACUGCUUUUGUACGGAACGAAACGGCUCUGGUUAAUACCUGGGGCUAAUGACGGUACCGUAAGAAUAAGCACCGGCUAACUACGUGCCAGCCGCCGCAGUAAUAC